rnacentral:rRNA from 1 species
GACGAACGCUGGCGGCGUGCUUAACACAUGCCAGUCGAACGGAAAGGCCCUGCUUUUGUGGGGUGCUCGAGUGGCGAACGGGUGAGUAACACGUGAGUAACCUGCCCUUGACUUUGGGAUAACUUCAGGAAACUGGGGCUAAUACCGGAUAGGAGCUCCUGCUGCAUGGUGGGGGUUGGAAAGUUUCGGCGGUUGGGGAUGGACUCGCGGCUUAUCAGCUUGUUGGUGGGGUAGUGGCUUACCAAGGCUUUGACGGGUAGCCGGCCUGGGAGGGUGACCGGCCACAAUGGGACUGAGAUACGGCCCAGACUCCAACGGGAGGCAGCAGUGGGGAAUAUUGCACAAUGGGCGGAAGCCUGAUGCAGCAGCGCCGCGUGCGGGAUGACGGCCUUCGGGUUGUAAACCGCUUUCGCCUGUGACGAAGCGUGAGUGACGGUAAUGGGUAAAGAAGCACCGGCUAACUACGUG